rnacentral:lncRNA from 1 species
UCUCAACUUGAAGCCUUCUCUUCAGGGACUGAUUGUAUCACUGAUUGGAUGGUGGAGAAUUCAUGGCUUUGGAUUUUAGGGAGGGAGUUAUGUGCCCCACCUUGCUCUAUCCAGAUCCCUGCCUGAGUCAUCCGGACAGCUCUCACAUAGUUGGAGGUUCUCUGUCUUGAGGCUACUUAUCACUCUCCAGCCAGACCACUUACCAGCUUCCUCAGAAGCCCCUGCAUUAUAAUUCUUUCUAGAUACUUCCCUCACAUGGUGGUGCCUUCUGCGAUCUUGAGAAGUGUCCUGCUGCAAUGGGUUGCUAGUUACUUUAGUAAUGUGCUGAUGCCUGGAGAAAGUCUAUCGAGUGCUCUGCAGCGAUAAACCACACGGUCAGUGAUGCCUGGAAUUCUCCAGUGAGAGAGGAUGCCUGGCUCGCAGGAGGCUGAAUUGCACUGUUGCUUUACACAGCUGGAGGAGGGGAAGGAUUUCAUUUGCUCUUUCUUUUCAAGUUUCCCAAAGUGAAUAUGCAUCUGCUACUGUGGUCUUCCAGGAUGGUUUUCCUAGGUCACACACUUGCCAUGAGGUGAACAGCAUUGCUACAUGGUACCAUCCUGAGGCAAACAGCAUUGUUACUCCAUAUCAUCCUGUGUCCAUGCUGCUUUACUUCACCACAGCAAUGGAAUACAACAGCCAUGCACUACACCAUAUUUUGACACAACAACAAUGAGUGGCUUACACAAGGGCCAUGCCCCUGGAGUCAGGCAACUGCAUCUUUUGUCUUCUAACCUUUGGCCUGCCCUCAUGAAACAAGUGGAGGCAGAACUUGUAUUAAUCAGGAUGCUGUAAAGGAACAGAACUGAUUGAAUGUGGUGUGUGUGUGUGUGUGUGUGUGUGUGUGUGUGUGUGUGUGUGUGUGUUGUGUAUGAGGUGAGGGUGGGAUUUAAAUGCAGUCUGUGUUCCAUGUAAUCCAACAAUUUAAAGACCAGAAAUCUGGUAGCUGUUCAGCAGUCCCAAUCUGGUGUUGGAGUGCCAGAAGAUUCCCAGAGAGCCACUGGGCUGCAAUCUACAUUGGAAUCCUAAAGAAGUAGGUUCUAGUAUUGGGGAAGGAAUGCCUUGGAAACAGGAUAGACGGAACUUGCCAUCAAGGGUGAGGGCAAGCAGGCUAAAACCAAAAGCUUCCUUCUUCCUUGUCCAUUUCUGUGGGCUUCCACCUUAAGGUAUGGCACAGAAUUGUCAUAAUUCUUCCCAUCACAAAUGACAUAGUCAAUAAAAUUUGGGUUUUGGUGGACUUUGGGGAGCCCCCGUUGAGGGCCCUACCCUGCCUGGGG